rnacentral:rRNA from 1 species
AGCAGGCUGAAGUGAGAGUAAAAUCUCAUGGAGGGCCGAACGCACGUUCGUUGCAAUGACCGGCGAUGACUUGUGGUUAGCGGAGAAAUUCCAAUCGAACUCGGAGAUAGCUGGUUCUCCCCGAAAUAGCUUUAGGGCUAGCGUUAUCUUAGAUUACCGGAGGUAAAGCACUGAAUGGGCUAGGGGGCGAUAAGCUUACUGAACCCUAUCAAACUCAGAAUGCCGGCUAAUUGAUGGAUAGCAGUCAGACAGUGUGAGAUAAGUUUCAUUGUCAAAAGGGAAACAGCCCAGACCCACAGCUAAGGUCCCAAAUUAUGCUAAGUGGAAAACGAUGUGGAAUUGCGAAAACAACCAGGAUGUUGGCUUAGAAGCAGCCACUCAUUAAAAGAGUGCGUAAUAGCUCACUGGUCGAGUGACUCUGCGCGGAAAAUUAACGGGGCUAAGCAUGAACCGAAGCUUGGGAUUGUCUUUGACAGUGGUAGGGGAGCGUCGUGUACGGGGUGAAGUACGAUCGAGAGGACGUGUGGACUGUACACGAGUGAGAAUGCCGGAAUGAGUAGCGAGAA